rnacentral:rRNA from 1 species
UACGUAGGGUGCGAGCGUUAAUCGGAAUUACUGGGCUUAAAGGGUGCGUAGGCGGCGCGGAAAGUAGGGUGUGAAAUCCCUCGGCUCAACCGAGGAACUGCGCUCUAAACUACCGUGCUCGAGGGAGAUAGAGGUGAGCGGAACUGAGGGUGGAGCGGUGAAAUGCGUUGAUAUCCUCAGGAACACCGGUGGCGAAAGCGGCUCACUGGAUCUCUUCUGACGCUGAGGCACGAAAGCUAGGGUAGCGAACGGG